ensembl:ncRNA R90.9 ncRNA
AGUUGAUUGGUGACAACUUUGUUAGUGUUUCUCUCCCGGGACAUGACUUCUUUUACUCUGAAACGGAUGAUUACCCUCAAUUCUUCU